AUCUAAAUAGCUUAUAAAGAGUAUAAUAUUGAAGAUAUUAAGGAAAUUAAUAAAUUUUUAGAUA
rnacentral:tRNA from 1 species